rnacentral:tRNA from 1 species
AGGGUAUAGCUCAGUGGUAGAGUGCAUGCUUACCAAUUAUGAGGUCCUGGGCUCAAUUCCCAGCACAUCUG